GACGAACGCUGGCGGCGUGCCUAAUACAUGCAAGUAGAACGCACAGUUUAUACCGUAGCUUGCUACACCAUAGACUGUGAGUUGCGAACGGGUGAGUAACGCGUAGGUAACCUGCCUGGUAGCGGGGGAUAACUAUUGGAAACGAUAGCUAAUACCGCAUAAUAUUGAUUAUUGCAUGAUAAUUGAUUGAAAGAUGCUAUUGCAUCACUACCAGAUGGACCUGCGUUGUAUUAGCUAGUAGGUGAGGUAACGGCUCACCUAGGCGAUGAUACAUAGCCGACCUGAGAGGGUGAUCGGCCACACUGGGACUGAGACACGGCCCAGACUCCUACGGGAGGCAGCAGUAGGGAAUCUUCGGCAAUGGACGAAAGUCUGACCGAGCAACGCCGCGUGAGUGAAGAAGGUUUUCGGAUCGUAAAGCUCUGUUGUAAGAGAAGAACGGGUGUGAGAGUGGAAAGUUCACACUGUGACGGUAUCUUAACAGAAAGGGACGGCUAACUACGUG
rnacentral:rRNA from 1 species